rnacentral:rRNA from 1 species
UACGUAGGGGCAAGCGUUGUCCGGAAUCAUUGGGCGUAAAGAGCGUGUAGGCGGCUCGGUAAGUCCGCUGUGAAAGUCCAGGCUCAACCCUGGAAUGCCGGUGGAAACUGUCGGCUAGAGUCCGGAAGAGGCGAGUGGAAUUCCUGGUGUAGCGGUGAAAUGCGCAGAUAUCAGGAGGAACACCAAUGGCGAGGCAGCUCGCUGGACGUACUGACGCUGAGACGCGAAGCGUGGAGCAACAGAUAGAUACCGGGUAG